UACGAAGGGGGCUAGCGUUGUUCGGAAUUACUGGGCGUAAAGCGCACGUAGGCGGAUUGUUAAGUUAGGGGUGAAAUCCCAGGGCUCAACCCUGGAACUGCCUUUAAUACUGGCAAUCUCGAGUCCGAGAGAGGUGAGUGGAAUUCCGAGUGUAGAGGUGAAAUUCGUAGAUAUUCGGAGGAACACCAGUGGCGAAGGCGGCUCACUGGCUCGGUACUGACGCUGAGGAGCGAAAGUGUGGGGAGCGAACAGG
rnacentral:rRNA from 1 species